UUGCCGUUCUCUUUCAUUUUAUUUUUCCCUCACCUCGUACGUUACAGCUUGUCACGAAGCUGGACAUUUACUACUGCGGAAUAAAAUAUUGCCCGUUAGUUACAGGAAGUAAAUAUUUCUUUGCUAACGACAUUAAACACCGAUGUCAAUGUAUUUUUUCCCAUAAUGGAUUCCGUUUCUGAUCACUUUAACUUCACGUGGCGAAGGUAACCAGUUCUUUACGAAUACUACUUCAUUUUCCUAUUUUUGUUUUUUGUGACAAGAGAUUCCUUAUACAGAUAUAAUAUUUUUCGACAGAAUUGGAACAACCGACAAAGAAUGACCAACAGGAAACACAAAGGAAACUGGAUUCGAGGGGACUGAACGUUAACCUUGGACUUUGAACGGAGCAGGAUCGGAGCUUCAAAAAUCCAGGCUGUCUGCCACCACAGCUGUAUCUCAACCCCUGUCUCGGUACCCUCAAAAAGAACAAAGUGUCCGUGGACAUUUUUCCACAUCGACAGAGUUCGUCUCGACGCAGAACUAGUGGCAGUAUGCAGCGUUGCGAUACAUGGAAUUAAAAAUAAUAGCCCCAACACGUCAGCAGUUGAGAGACCUCCACCUCCGUCAGCGAUACUCGACCAAGGAAAAAAAGAAGUGGCCAUGCAUAUUUUUGACCAACAACGACUGCGAAAUGAAACUCAACAAAUUGCCAGCUCGUCGUAGAGAUUAUUCGGAGUCAAUGCGAUACGACGAUCCACAUAGCUAAACAAAAAUGACGAUAAAGGUUUACACAAGCAUUACUGGCGGUGUGAGUGUAAUCGUGCCUGCGACCAACAGCAUAAUUUCAAUCUAUAGAGCCAGCCAAGGUCCGCAGCCCUAUAAAAUGUGAACCACACUUGUUGACCCGCUGAGAGGUCUGGUAUGUGUGUGGAGUAUACGACGAGAUUAUUUAACGCAAACAUCGGCGGUAUUCUUAGUAUCUACUAUAUCCCAAUUCUCCUCACGAGCUUCCGCGGUGUGACGAACGGCCUUCACUUUACGGAUAAAACGUCGCCAACUUCCUGGGCGUAAUUUAUGGCCAGAAAAGAUAGCGUAUCCGACAGCGUUAUUCGGCAGGUGCGCUCGCUCCGAGCGGCGACCUUGAACGUAGUGAAAUGCGAAACUAUCGUAGCGAUUAUCGAGAGUCGAGGAGUUUUGUCGCUUGGCGUUAUUUUAACCGAUAGCCGUGAAGUUUUCACCUUUUUCUCGCGUCCGAAGAAAUUGAGGAGAAAAUUCAAAUCGCUCCCCCCACCACCCGCCGAUCGUGUAUUCAACCGGAUUCCCGACCCAUUGACCUUCCCGAGUUUGGGUCUUCGUCAGCGACAUGCGUUCCCGACGUUACGAAAAUAAACGUACCGCGAAAUUACCACAAUAUCAAUAUUCAUCGGCCGAUGUUAUCGGAAUGUAUUUAAAAUAUGAGAAAUGAAUAUCGGAAUAUUUGCCGGUCGUCGUCCCGUCCGUCCCGUCCGUCGCUUUUCGAAUUACCGCUAAAACGCUCGAUUAUCGCCCAGUCAUUUUUCUUGUCCACGUUUUUUUUUUAUCCUACCUCGACUCGAUCGCGCUGCCCAAUUUCCAUUAACCGGUUCUUCUGCUAAUUCCAACACAAACCGGAAGCUACGUCCACCAAAAAUUCCACGCUAUUUGUCGAUGAAAAUAAAAAAAAAAAAAAAAAAAAAAAA